GUCAGUGUGGCCGAGUGGUUAAGGCGUGUGACUUGAAAUCACAUCUCUUCGGAGGCAUAGGUUCGAACCCUAUCGCUGACG
rnacentral:tRNA from 1 species